rnacentral:rRNA from 1 species
GAUGAACGCUGGCGGCGUGCCUAAUACAUGCAAGUCGAGCGAACGGACGAGAAGCUUGCUUCUCUGAUGUUAGCGGCGGGCGGGUGAGUAACACGUGGAUAACCUACCUAUAAGACUGGGAUAACUUCGGGAAACCGGAGCUAAUACCGGAUAAUAUUUUGAACCGCAUGGUUCAAUAGUGAAAGACGGUCUUGCUGUCACUUAUAGAUGGAUCCGCGCUGCAUUAGCUAGUUGGUAAGGUAACGGCUUACCAAGGCAACGAGGCAUAGCCGACCUGAGAGGGUGAUCGGCCACACUGGAACUGAGACACGGUCCAGACUCCUACGGGAGGCAGCAGUAGGGAAUGUUACGCAAUAGGCGAAAGCAUGACGGAGCAGCGCCGCGUGAGUGAUGAAGGUCUUCGGAUCGUAAAGCUCUGUUAUUAGGGAAGAACAGAUGUGUAAGUAACUGUGCACAUCUUGACGGUACCUAAUCAGAAAGCCACGGCUAACUACGUG